UACGUAGGGCGCAAGCGUUGUCCGGAAUUAUUGGGCGUAAAGAGCGCGUAGGUGGCUUGUCGCGUCUGCCGUGAAAGCCCAUGGCUUAACUGUGGGUCUGCGGUGGAUACGGGCUGGCUAGAGGUAGGUAGGGGCAAGCGGAAUUCCUGGUGUAGCGGUGAAAUGCGCAGAUAUCAGGAGGAACACCGGUGGCGAAGGCGGCUUGCUGGGCCGCGCCUGACGCUGAGGAGCGAAAGCGUGGGGAGCGAACAGG
rnacentral:rRNA from 1 species